CAGUCGCCGCGGUAAUACGUAGGUCCCGAGCGUUGUCCGGAUUUAUUGGGCGUAAAGCGAGCGCAGGCGGUUAGAUAAGUCUGAAGUUAAAGGCUGUGGCUUAACCAUAGUACGCUUUGGAAACUGUUUAACUUGAGUGCAAGAGGGGAGAGUGGGAUUCCAUGUGUAGCGGUGAAAUGCGUAGAUAUAUGGAGGAACACCGGUGGCGAAAGCGGCUCUCUGGCUUGUAACUGACGCUGAGGCUCGAAAGCGUGGGGAGCAAACAGGAUUAGAUACCCGAGUAGUCCCUGUCUCUUAUACC
rnacentral:rRNA from 1 species